GGAGUCUAGCAUGUGCGCGAGUCAUUGGGACUCUGCGAAACCUAAAGGCGUAAUGAAAGUGAAGGUUCGCCUAGCGCGAAUCGAGGGAGGAUGGGCCGCGCUCGUCGCGGCCCCGCACUCCCGGGGCGUUUCGUUCUCAUCGCGAGAAGAGGCGCACCCAGAGCGUACACGCUGGGACCCGAAAGAUGGUGAACUAUGCCUGGUCAGGACGAAGUCAGGGGAAACCCUGAUGGAGGUCCGUAGCGAUUCUGACGUGCAAAUCGAUCGUCGGAACUGGGUAUAGGGGCGAAAGACUAAUCGAACCAUCUAGUAGCUGGUUCCCUCCGAAGUUUCCCUCAGGAUAGCUGGCGCUCGCUUUGCGAGUCUCAUCCGGUAAAGCGAAUGAUUAGAGGCAUUGGGGUCGAAACGGCCUCAACCUAUUCUCAAACUUUAAAUGGGUGAGAACUCCGGCUUGCUUGAACGGUGAAGCCGCGAGUUUAAUUAUUUCGGAAACGAAAAUAAGGAAAGGAUCAGGGUGCCAAGUGGGCCACUUUUGGUAAGCAGAACUGGCGCUGUGGGAUGAACCAAACGUAGAGUUAAAGCGCCAAAAUCGACGCUUAUGGGAUACCAUGAAAGGCGUUGGUAACUUAAGACAGCAGGACGGUGGCCAUGGAA
rnacentral:rRNA from 1 species